AAGGGUUUAAUUCUGGCCUGGUGGUUAUAUUUGGGUGCUCUAUAUGAAAGACUUGGCUAGUUUUUAGGGCGCAGUAGAUAUUUUUAGGGGUUUCCUUUUAGGAGUCCUAGCAUCUCAGCCGGCUAAAGGGGUGCCAGCAACCGCGGUUAAACCUCAGGCUUUUUAACCUUCCUAAAGAGAUACAGAAAAGGAUUUCGGACUCAGAGGUAAAAUUCAUACUUUAUCAGUCCUUUGGAGCUGCGAACAAACCUUUAGUUUAAACCAGGAUUAGAUACCCUGUUAUUUAAAGGCUUGCUAUUCUCUAGGUAGUAACUAAUGCUAUGCAAAACCUAAAGAAUUUGGCGGCUACUAACCCCUCCGGAGGGGCCUGCCUUGUAAGCGGAAACCACACCUUAGAUCUCACCUUUUUGUUGUUUGUAUACCGCCGUCGAGGCUUCGCCAAGAGGCGAUGUCCUGAAGGAAAACCUCUACGACAGGUCUAGGUGCAGCACUUAGAAAGGAAAGAGCAGGCCACAUUUUUUUUCUAACUGAGUACUGUGUGCAGUUGCAGUUGAAAUAGGAUUCGGGAGUAGUUCAGGUUUAUAACACCUGUGCGAAAGGGCUCUGGGUAGUGCACAUAUCGCCCGUCACUCUCACGCAGUGAGAUAAGUCGUAACAUAGUGAAAGUACCGGAAGGUGUUUUUAUUAAAACACGGAA
rnacentral:rRNA from 1 species